rnacentral:lncRNA from 1 species
AAGACCAGUUCUUUAAAAGUAUCUCAACUAGUUCUAUUGUAUUACUGAUGAAAUCAACAUAUUAUUGUCAUUUUUUUAUACUGAAAUUGACUCUCAAAACAUUUUAUCGCCAUACCUUUUCUUAUGCAUUUUUCUGUCACCUUAGACUUUAAUAUUUAAGUUUAACCAAACAUAUGAAAAUUAAUCCACAAAAUAUUCCGUUAGAUAACCCAUAUAAAGAAUGAUCUAUGCUACAGUAUAUAUUGAGUCAGUCACAAUGUAACAAUCAUUUACACGAACAAUGUCCAACCAUACCAACAACCCAAUAUAUUCUUACAAAUGGGGUCCGGACAGAAUAAUAUAUACGCAUACCUUACCCUUACCCCGAGGUGUAAAUAUGCUAUUUCCAGGUGACCCUCGACUUAAGAAGGAAACAUGUGACAAUGUAAUUUAACAUAUUAUAUUAUGUUAGUUAUUAUUGUUACGAAACUGUCAAUGACGUUAAUAAUUCAUAUUCAUUUUUCAUUUAACAGAUUUUAUCAAUACCUUUCGUCGACAGGCUAUAUACAAAAAAAAUUACAUUAUACUCAAAAUAUAAUAAUAUAAAAAAAUAAAAGAAACCGAUUAUUUCAAGGGUGUGAACUGAGGCCCAUGCAACUAGGGGUGUUCACAAAAACACAAAAAAUUCGAACCAAACCGAAAAUCAAGCCAAACCUAUCAAAAAAAUUAAUACUUUUCGAUUUGAUUUAGUUUUUGUUUUAAUUAAAAAAAAUCAAACCAAAUCGAAUAUAGGAGUAACUAUUUUAAAUUUAG